AAUAGAUACCCCGGUAGUCCACGCCCUAAACGAUGUCUACUAGUUGUUGGGUCUUAAUUGACUUAGUAACGCAGCUAACGCGUGAAGUAGACCGCCUGGGGAGUACGGUCGCAAGAUUAAAAACUCAAAGGAAUUGACGGGGGACCCGCACAAGCGGUGGAUGAUGUGGAUUAAUUCGAUGCAACGCGAAAAACCUUACCUACCCUUGACAUGUCAGGAAUCCUUGAGAGAUUGAGGAGUGCCCGAAAGGGAACCUGAACACAGGUGCUGCAUGGCUGUCGUCAGCUCGUGUCGUGAGAUGUUGGGUUAAGUCCCGCAACGAGCGCAACCCUUGUCAUUAGUUGCUACGCAAGAGCACUCUAAUGAGACUGCCGGUGACAAACCGGAGGAAGGUGGGGAUGACGUCAAGUCCUCAUGGCCCUUAUGGGUAGGGCUUCACACGUCAUACAAUGGUACAUACAGAGGGCCGCCAACCCGGCAAGGGGGGAGCUAAUCCCAGAAAGUGUAUCGUAGUCCGGAUUGUAGUCUGCAACUCGACUA
rnacentral:rRNA from 1 species